UUAUUUUUGGCCAUUCUUUUUUCUAUUACUUGUCGACUGUGUAAGUGCGAUUUAAGCAUGCUUUUGAUGAAUCCAUUUUUAUAGACGAUUAACUUGAGUUUAUAGUACAAUAAAACAAGAAUACUGAAAUAAUAUACUAUACACUAUACAGUAUUGGUAUUUCCUCAAAAAGAAUGCUUUGAAAAACAAACAACUCUAUUGAAUAAAUAAAUUGUGUCAUAAUUACAAAAAACAACUGUUUUGUUAAUGUAAAUAUUUUAUACAAUGCAUUUUAACAUAUUUUCUUAUUUAUAAACAUUAUGCAUUUAUACUACACCACAAAAUCCAUUCAAUUAUUCCAUCAUAUUUCUUACAUUAGCCAAAUGAUCCCAACCUUGAGUAAUUUUAAAUUCCCAUGAUUAAUUGACUACAUUGAUGAUCUUGAAUAGCAUGUUUAAUAAUCAUUUCACAUUUAUUAUUAGACUAAUGAAUCACAACAAGAUAAAGGUAUUUGUGUUUCUGCAUAAACUGAUAAAAUUUUACAUUUCCUCCAAAUUUUAGUAUUUCACAUCAUGAGUAAGUACAGUACUUCUCAAAAACAAUAUUGAAACAGUUGAUGAUACCUUUUAUAGAAUUUAUUUUAUUUUGCUAACGGUUGUUUUAGCUAUGGGACACCUUUUUAAGUGAAUAUAUUAACUAAUACACCAGGGAAAUAAGGAAAAAAAAAGAUCUUGUACAAGACUAUGACAAAUCCAGGAGUUUGUUAAGGAGCACAAUACACAAUCUGGAUGGAAUAACAAAUAUCUAAAUGGCAAAAUAUAGUGUAAAAAAUGCCAAAUGGCAUUACUAAAUUGUUGAUACUUAAAAAAGACGCCAAAGUAUCUGCAGAAUAUGUGUCGGUUUUCUUUAUAUAGGCCUAUAAUAGCUAAAAAAACUUCAGAUACCUGGAUUUGACACUGUCCUGACAGCAAUCUUAUUUCCAAAAGCUAGAAUCCAUAUGACACAGCUAAUUCUUGUUAAUUGAGAAAUUAAAAUAUAAAAAAUAUUAAAAUACCAAAA
rnacentral:lncRNA from 1 species